rnacentral:rRNA from 1 species
AUUGAACGCUGGCGGCAUGCUUUACACAUGCAAGUCGAACGGUAACAGGUUAAGCUGACGAGUGGCGAACGGGUGAGUAAUGCAUCGGAACGUGCCCGGUCGUGGGGGAUAACGCAGCGAAAGCUGCGCUAAUACCGCAUACGAUCUGAGGAUGAAAGCGGGGGACCGUAAGGCCUCGCGCGAUCGGAGCGGCCGAUGUCAGAUUAGGUAGUUGGUGGGGUAAAGGCCUACCAAGCCGACGAUCUGUAGCUGGUCUGAGAGGACGACCAGCCAAACUGGGACUGAGACACGGCCCAGACUCCUACGGGAGGCAGCAGUGGGGAAUUUUGGACAAUGGGCGCAAGCCUGAUUCAGCAAUGCCGCGUGCAGGAAGAAGGCCUUCGGGUUGUAAACUGCUUUUGUACGGAGCGAAAGGGCUCUCUCUAAUACAGGGGGUUCAUGACGGUACCGUAAGAAUAAGCACCGGCUAACUACGUGCCAGCCGCCGCGGUAACAC